GCCGAUUACCACCCGAACGCAAACACGACUAUGUACGACUUAGUCACGUGCUAUUUUUGGUUUUACGAGUUACGAGACCGACCCAAGAAAGCUGAAGUCCGACUCCAAUGUCAAUGGACUGGCUUUUGUGGUCCUUGGCCGUAAACGUUAGCUAUAAGAUGUAUUAUUUAACAUUGGUUCUCGCGUAAACUACAAGUACUUGUCUAGCUGGUUUGAGUACAAAUUCCCUCUCUAAUUUGGUCCGAAUUUCUCUUCAAGACGUUCACGUAGCGCCUCGUCACUGUGAGGAAAGUUCUGGCAACAGAAUAAAUAUGUUUGCGAUUGGAGUGGACCAGGACCCCUUCAAAAGUGCAACAUUCCCUUGUGCUUCCUCUGUGCCCUAACAUCCCAGAUUUUACUUUGAAAGCUGCUCACUUGAAGGAAUUAAUUGGAGGGGAUUGAAUGACAACUUGGACCAGAUAGACGGGUGUGAGUCCAGCCAUCAGAUCCAAGCAAAAUAACAUCUCAUUCCUGUAUGAUGAUUAUUUUCCCACAAAGCCGUGAAAAAGCUGAAACUCUUGGAAAGGAGUCAUGCGGGGAUUUUUGGCUUGACUCAAGGGACCAGUCCAUCAGGGAAGCAGGUCAGUGUGACCGGAGGACAGCACAGAGAAACACCUGCCCUCCCCUGCCCCCUUUGUGGAGCUUCUGGAGCAGAAGAAGCCAGUCUCAGCCAUAGGACAUGGACAUUUGGGCAGACCAACUGGAGAGAUGGUGCAAUAAGGCAGGGGAGAAGACCCUCAAGUACAGGACAGAGAUCUAUGUGCAGGAGGGGUAUAUAAAGGCUAGUAAGUGAAGUACAUAAGAAGCUGACUUAAUAGGAAGAGAGUAAUUUGAAGGACGAGUAGAAGUGGCUCAUACAUCAUUGGUGGUUUGUGAGUGUAAGACAGUCUUGUCUUCCCGAACGUUCGCAAUUGGAUAAGCUUUCAGGAAAAGAUAGAGUGGUGCUGUGGGACCUGCCCCAUGGGUAAUGGUGCAUAGAGUUAUGUAACCUUACAAGACCUGGAGUGUUACGGGGGUAAACAUGAAGACAAAUAGCUGUGGAUACGUUCACCAGUGUGAACAAUCACCUGUGGCCAGAGCUCUCUAUUGAUGUAAAGUCAGGAACUAAUUCUUCAGCUGUAAUAUAUCCGUCAGUAAAGGCAAACAUAUUCAUCACUAGAUGAACGCAUUCAGAGAAUUGUGGAUUCACACGUGUUGUGCCUCUGCUUGAAAUAAGCACCUGCCUCUCCUAAGUAAAGCCAUUUCCUUGCUGAAAAUUCCAGUGUUAAGAUUUAUUGUUGCAAGUGAAUUCUAGGACAACUGUGAAUGGAAACUCGGUGCCCCAACUCAGGCAGAUUACACCCACUCACCAAAUUGUUCAACAUUAUUUCACAUUUUGUACUGUUUGGGAAUGGACAGUCAAGUAAACCUGCAGAGUGUUCUUAGUGACAAAUUCCAGAAAAGACAAACCCACACUCCAAACUAGUUUAGUCUUUUUCAACGUUUUUAUUUUUUCUGUUUCGACUUUGGUUCAAAAAAGUACAUUCCAUAUGGUUACAAACAGUUUCCCCAUCGAGUAAUGCUCUACGCACACAAAUAUGACAAAAAAAAUAAAAAAGGUCAUUUUGUGUCGUGGCUUUCAAACUUAUUGUGACAUUACAGUGUUACUGGUUAUUGGAAUCAGUCAACCUGUUUCGGUCAACAAACCAAAUGCUACCUACACUGUUUCCAGAUGUAGAUUAAAAGCAAGCAAGCGAAACAAGCUGGCUACUUGGUUCAUGUCUUUUGUUUAGCUAAACAGGUUUUGGCAGGCUAUUUGUAGUGGCUUAAUUUAUAUAUAUAAAAUAAAAUUAAAAAAUCAUCAAAGAGUGACCUCAGUUUGUUACGCCCUCCCCACCUCUCCCAAACUUUGACCUUCACAGUACUCACGCAAAGAAAACAUUUAAUACCACUAACAUAUUUUGAAUGAUUAACAAUUGUCUAAACAUUUCCAAAUUAUUUAAUUCUUUUUCUGCACCACCUCUGCUCAGCAGUUGCUCAUCAUAACUGCACUGUGUUAAUGAUACUAUUGCAACUUUUUCUUUUUUCAUCAGUUAUCAUAAUUAUCACAAAAAUAGUAAAAAAAAAACAGAAAAGCUAGUCAAAGGUAAUUUGAUACUUUUUAAUUGGCCAUUUGAGUAUGAUUUCCUUCUCAAUUCCAUUCUACUGCACUGAGUGAAGACCCCGCAUUAUAACCAUGCAACAUUGUAAAAACAGUUGCUUUGUACAGCAAUAGCUCUAUACUUCCUUUGGCAGUGCUCAAAAGUAGUACAAAUUGUACUGAGGGUCUCAGGCUAAUCACAUAACUGUAGCAUGCUUUUUUUUUUUAACGAUGUUGCAAAUUUGCAACUGGGUCCCUGGAGGGUAAAAAUGUUGCACAUUAGUCUGUGCAAUUCCAUCAAUCAACCCCCCUUCUUUCUUUAACUUUGUUGUACCAUCAACAGGUGUCAUGAAAUCAUUUAUAAGUGAAAUCGUUUAUCAGAUUUCUUAUGUUUGUUACAAAGGUCAGAAGCUCACUUGGGUGCAAUCAUUCCCUGUGCAAAGCAUGUCACUUUGUGGUCUUUGGGCCUUAAUACUGCCAUAUGAUGAGUGAUAUUAACUCUGCAGUGUCAAGAGAAUUUAAUGCAAGAAGUCAAUCCAAUGUUGACUGUUUUGGGAGCUUUAGCAAAGAUGAGCAUAGCAUCUUUCUGAUGAAACUCAAGCAAAGGAAUUAAAGCUUUUUUUUAGUACAAUAGUCACAACAAUAAAGAACAUUAAUAUAAAAAUGCAGUACUCUAUUUUCUUACAGGAUGAAAGGCUAUACUAUUCUACGAAUACAAAUGAUGUCUUUUUUGAUUAUAUAUUUGUCUAUACAUGGUCCAUAUACAUUCAUUUUACAUUUUCAAGAAGACAAUUCUAAGGCGUAGUGGCAGUGCAGUCUAUGGUCUUGCACCUAGAGGAAGUUGCAGUUUGGUGAGAUAAUAGCCCUUUUUUGUUUGUAUUACUUGUCAGAAAUGGAUGCUGUGCCAAGUUUGCCCAAAAAGUCCCCUAUAAUUAGUCAAAAGCUCAUUGGAGACAUUUACCCAUCUGGAGCUCAAUUCACUUGAUAUUCACCUGCUAAAAAGUAAUUACAAGCUUGAUACUAUUAGCGAUUGCACUAUUUUGAACUGUUAGCAUUUUAGAAGGCAAAAUACAUAUACAAGUCAUUAGGUUCUAAUGGUAUUAGGUUUGUAAUUAUUGAUUAGCAGGUAGAUCCAGGUUUCAAGUGAAUUCUCAUGUUUGCAGUUGAUGAUAUUUUCAUUGUAGGCCCCUCAUGACACUUCAUGAUCUGCUUUGGUCAGUUCAUAGGAUUUCAGACACAAGUUAUAAAAAUAAAAACAAUUAGAUUCCACCCAAAAGUGCCAAAAAGUAUCAAUUUUUACUUUGAGAAGCUUUACUGUCUUACCCACCCAAGCAGUUUCUUUAAUCUUUUGCAUGGCCAAUUGAUCUGUAAAAAAACAACCCAUACUGGUUGCAUUUACUUUUCCCCCAUUGUUUUACUUUUCUGCAGUAACAAUGUGUUGUAUACAAGUUCCCAAUGAAAUUGCGCAUAAAAAAAGCUAAGAAUGGUUAGCACUGCAAUUGUUACAUUUCAUCUGGCUUCAAUCAUUUAUCAAUACAGUAUGAAAGUGAGUUUUUUUUGUUUUGUUUCAUUUUUGGUCAUUACAGUUUUAAGUAACAAGGUUAUCACAGUUUUGGUAACUUACUGAGUUCAUGCUAAGUUAAAGAGUUAGUCCCACAUGUGUUUUGAGCUUUUUUUUGUUGUUGUAAAAAAAGAAUUGAUUCUUUGGCAUCAUUCUUGUCUCAGUCGAAGGCCUGGAAGCAGUAGACACCGAACAGCUUGUGCUUCUUGUCGGGGAAGCCGACAAAGCGGACGGCUGCCUCUGUGGGGCUGCAGCGUCUCCUGGGGUUGGAGAUGGGGUAGCGCACGCUGCCGUCGGCCAACCAGCCGGCGUCGCAUCUGUCGUAGCCCAGGAGCUUCCACGCGGCGAACAUCUGCCCCACCUUGGCGAUCUCGGAACCGUCGUUCUCGCAAGCCUGGACAGCCUCGUCAUACGUGAACUUUGUCAUAUUGAAGCCGGUGUGCAAGUAGUAGAAUCGCCCUGAAAGAUCAAAAAAACACAAAUGCUAGUUUGUCGGAAUGCUGGCUUAAGUGGGAAAAUGAUGGGGAAUAUGGGAGGAUGUUCCCAUAAUUACUGGUCCCAUGUGCUGUCUUUUCUGCUGUAACACCAAUGAUCAGUUUAAAUGGGCUGAAUGGCCUGUUCAUCCUUAUGUUCUUGCAUUCCAAAGUCAUUCCCAAAAAACCAGCUCAUGCUCACCUUUGAAGUGGGAGGUGAAGCAGAAGACAUCGUAGCGGCUCUUGGUCUUGUCACGCAGGCCGUAGUUUCUCACUCCGGGGACGGUGCUGUUGCCUCCGCAAGGUCCACGGGGAUUGGUGAUGGGGUACUGCACGGAGCCGUCGUUCAACCAGCCGGCGUUGCACCAGUCGAAGCCGUCCUUCCAGGCCUCGUAGAGCUGGUCAAAGUUGGCCACCACAGCGUCUUGGUCCAGGCAGGCCUUCUCGGCGUCAUGGUAGUUCAGGUUGUAGCGGCCCAGUCGUGGGGAGUAAGGGAAGACCACACCUGAGAAUUAAAGGAACAGAAAAUGCCAUCACAUUAGCUGCUUUAUUGUGUUUAAAGGUAACAGACAAAACAUGAAUGGGCAAUAAGUUAAGUUAUUUGUGUGUGUGUGUGUGUGUGUGUCUCAAGAUUUGAGAACUUUUAUGUAAUCUUAUUUCCCUGAAAGGAAGCAGCCGGAGUCAUAAAUUCAGCAAAAUGAUCUCAAGGGAUUGAAUUUACAUUGAAGUGUUCAGUAGCCUGCAAAAUACAUACAAGGUAUGGAGAGACAUCUUGUUUUGUGAUUAAAAUGGCACCGUUUGAUGCAGUGGUAAUAGAAGUUGAGUAAGGGGACCAUUUGCAAUGAUAAAAAUUGCCUGUUAAGAUAAGAAUAGAAUGCUUGAAGAAGAAAUUGGAAAUACAGCCUGACUAUGGCAAGCAACAAAGGCAAUCAAAGGCAAAUUCCCUUUUCUCACCCAGCCAAGUGCCUGGUUGAGGUUUAAAGACAGGCCAGGUAUGUCAUCAGAUUAAAUAAAAAAUAUCUAGCACUGAUUCUUGGCAAUAUGCUACUUGAAAUAUGAUAUUUUAUGAGGUUGAUUGUUUUGCAUUAGUGGCUCUCAUGUUGGUUUAGCAACACAACAGGGCAACAUGAUUAUUGUUGCAUGAAGUCUAUUCCGCUUCUGUGCAUCUUAUUUUCAUUCUGUUAACAUUAACGCAGGAACAUGCACGCAAUAAAGAGUAAUCAAAGUUG